UCUGAGGUUUGUUGGCAAUGUGCUAAUUUAUUGCACCCAAUAAAUUAGCACAUUGCCAACAAACCUCAGAGC